AUUGAACGCUAGCGGGAUGCCUUACACAUGCAAGUCGAACGGAGUGGCGAACGGGUGAGUAAUGUAUCGGAACGUGCCCAGUAGCGGGGGAUAACUACGCGAAAGCGUAGCUAAUACCGCAUACUAGUGGAGCGGCCGAUAUCGGGUUAUCUAGGUGGUGGGGUAACGGCUCACCAAGGCGACGAUCCGGAGCAGUUUUGAGAGGAGGACAAGCCACCCUGGGACGUGGACACGGCCCAGACUCCUACGGGAGGCAGCAGUGGGGAAUUUUGGACAAUGGGGGAAACCCUGAUCCAGCCAUCCCGCGUGUGUGAAGAAGGCCUUCGGGUUGUAAAGCACUUUCAGCGGGGAGGCGUUACUCGCAGAAGAAGCACCGGCUAACUCCGUGCCAGCAGCCGCGGUAAUAC
rnacentral:rRNA from 1 species